rnacentral:rRNA from 1 species
CUCGUAGGCGGUUUGUCGCGUCGAAUGUGAAAACCCGGGGCUCAACCCCGGGCCUGCAUUCGAUACGGGCAGACUAGAGUUCGGUAGGGGAGUCUGGAAUUCCUGGUGUAGCGGUGAAAUGCGCAGAUAUCAGGAGGAACACCGGUGGCGAAGGCGGGACUCUGGGCCGAUACUGACGCUGAGGAGCGAAAGCGUGGGGAGCGAACA